rnacentral:rRNA from 1 species
CAAUAGCGUAUAUUAAAGUUGUUGCAGUUAAAAAGCUCGUAGUUGGAUUUCUGCUGAGGACGAUCGGUCCGCCCACUGGGUGAGUAUCUGGCUCGGCCUUGGCAUCUUCUUGGAGAACGUUGCUGCACUUGACUGUGUGGCGCGGUAUCCAGGACUUUUACUUUGAGGAAAUUAGAGUGUUUCAAGCAGGCGCACGCCUUGAAUACAUUAGCAUGGAAUAAUGAGAUAGGACCUUGGUUCUAUUUUGUUGGUUUCUAGAGCUGAGGUAAUGAUUAAUAGGGAUAGUUGGGGGCAUUCGUAUUUAACUGUCAGAGGUGAAAUUCUUGGGUUUGUUAAAGACGGACUACUGCGAAAGCAUUUGCCAAGGAUGUUUUCAUUGA